AGAACUUAAAUCAAUUAAGUCCUAUCUACAAAGAACUAUGUCACAGGAGAGAUUAUGUGGACUGGCAAUAUUAUCAAUUGAAAGAGACAUUGCUUCUAACCUGGACGAUAUAAAUUUGAAAACCAAGUUUGCUAAAUGUAAUACUUACCAGAUAUUUUGCCUCAUUCAAAGCUCUGGCUAUACAAGACCUGUAUUUUCUGAAGACUGCUUGAUUGACUAAACAUUUUGGAUUGACUCCGCCUCCCCAUCCUGUUUGACCUUAAUUCAUUUGCAUUGUCUGUCCUUUACAGGUUGAAACAAAUAUGGUGGAGUACCUCAAGCAAGCUGAGAUAUCAAGGUUUUACCUCUAUGUCCUGUCACUUGAGAAUGGACACAUGGGCUCCCAAGGAUUUGUUAUUCUAGCAGGUGAAGCUCUAGAGCAAAGCACACUAAUUGGGGCAGUGGAUGUGUGCUUCAAAGCUUUUUAUGUUUUUCACAUGAACUACCAUCUAAAUUGUGCACAAAAAAAAAAAAAAAAAAAAAAAAAAAUCAUACAUUUUUUUUACUCAUUUCCUACAGGUCUGGUCCCUUAUUCAACUGUUCAUCAUCCUCUUAUACAACAUGCAGCAAUGAAGUUUCACUUUCUGUUUUCCUCAACUAUGGCUCUUUUUAUCUUACCUUCAUGAAAGACGCUGCCAGGUGGACUGUCAACGGACUGAAGAAAACAAGCUAUCACAACUCAGUUAAGAAGUCAGAUUUCAUAGAAAAACUUAAAAGCAAAUUCAUGCUAUAACACCACAGAAGUGAGACCCUUCCUUCUGGGAAACAGAGGUGCUCCAGGAUUUUCAAGAGAAUGAUUGGUACCUCAACUUCAGAAUGCCCAAAGAGGCCUUCAAUAUCCUUUGUGACCAGCUACACCCAUACAUCAACCCCCAAACUACCAACAUGUUGGAUCCAGUACCUCUAAAGAAGAGCAGUUAUCAUCUUCAAGCUUGCCAGUAAUGUUGAGUUCCUUGAUGAUGCCAACCUUUCUGGCAUUGAAACCAGCACUGAGCAAGCUCAGGAGGGUUUUUGUGGAGAGGCCAAAAACUGUCCCUCAAGUCCAAGCCGGCAUCACAGGAUUUGAGAGGAAGACGGGAUUCCCCAUAUGUGCUGGUGCUUUGGAAACACAAAUCAAAGCAUGGUGAAAUAAAUAAAAUGGUGAACUGACAGACUUUCUGUCUUACAUGUAAAAACUCUAAAUCUAAAAGGCCUAAGAACAAAUAAUGCUUUUCUGUGCACUUAAUAUGCUGCUGGGGCAGGGGGUCCAGGGGCUGUAGUGGAAGAAAUUUUGAGUUUCUGUAUAUUUUCCAUUUGAUUUUACUUAUAUGCUUAUGGUUACAUGAUUUUGUGUUUCUCAGAAGUGCUUAAGUAUGCAUUCUUUGGGUGACUGUCACAUGACAGGUGGAAGAACACUGAAGUUUAAACAUGUUCCUAAUAUGGUAAAAGGACAGAGGCUUCAGCCUUGAAGGUUAGAGAUAAAAAAGUGAGGGGAAGCUUUCAUUCUUUGUCUUACACUCUGCAGCUACUUGUGUUUCUGUAUGACUGUCUGACCUUUCUUGCAAGAAAUAAAAGCUUUGAAAGACA